rnacentral:rRNA from 1 species
UGCAAGUCGAGGGGUAUAGUUCUUCGGAGCUAGAGACCGGCGCACGGGUGCGUAACGCGUAUGCAAUCUACCUUUUACAGAGGGAUAGCCCAGAGAAAUUUGGAUUAAUACCUCAUAGUAUGUGAGAAUCGCAUGGUUUUCACAUUAAAGUCACAACGGUAAAAGAUGAGCAUGCGUCCCAUUAGCUAGAUGGUAAGGUAACGGCUUACCAUGGCAACGAUGGGUAGGGGUCCUGAGAGGGAGAUCCCCCACACUGGUACUGAGACACGGAUCAGACUCCUACGGGAGGCAGCAGUGAGGAAUAUUGGACAAUGGGCGCAAGCCUGAUCCAGCCAUGCCGCGUGCAGGAUGACGGUCCUAUGGAUUGUAAACUGCUUUUGUACAGGAAGAAACACUCCCUCGUGAGGGAGCUUGACGGUACUGUAAGAAUAAGGAUCGGCUAACUCCGUGCCAGCAGCCGCGGUAAUACGGAGGAUCCAAGCGUUAUCCGGAAUCAUUGGGUUUAAAGGGUCCGUAGGCGGUUUAAUAAGUCAGUGGUGAAAGCCCAUCGCUCAACGGUGGAACGGCCAUUGAUACUGUUAAACUUGAAUUAUUAGGAAGUAACUAGAAUAUGUAGCGUAGCGGUGAAAUGCUUAGAGAUUACAUGGAAUACCAAUUGCGAAGGCAGGUUACUACUAAUGGAUUGACGCUGAUGGACGAAAGCGUGGGUAGCGAACAGGAUUAGAUACCCUGGUAGUCCACGCCGUAAACGAUGGAUACUAGCUGUUGGGAGCAAUCUCAGUGGCUAAGCGAAAGUGAUAAGUAUCCCACCUGGGGAGUACGUUCGCAAGAAUGAAACUCAAAGGAAUUGACGGGGGCCCGCACAAGCGGUGGAGCAUGUGGUUUAAUUCGAUGAUACGCGAGGAACCCUUACAAGGCUUAAAUGUAGUUUGACCGAUUUGGAACAGAUCUUCGCAAGACAAAUUACAAGUGCUGCAUGGUUGUCGUCAGCUCGUGCC